CACGGGAGUGCAAGUGGGCGAAUCGCCAGCUUGUUGCUGAUUUCCAGAAUGUGCUAUUGGAGAACCGAGUCUCUGGAAGACUUGAAUUGAAAUUGUCUGAGGAAGAAUUUGAUCCAGUGGGUGGUGGCCUGGUGAUCUGGUGAAACUUCCACAGCUCUGAGGAACUGUCCUUCUCUGCAGUCAGCAUGCAAAGCUGCUCAGUAUCUGAGCCAUGGGACAUGAGAGCC